rnacentral:rRNA from 1 species
UCCCACAGACAUAUCACCCUGAACAUGCCUGAUCCCAUCUGAUCUGGAAGCUAAGCAGGGUUGGGCUUGGUGAGUUAUUGGAU